rnacentral:rRNA from 1 species
UGCCAGCCGCCGCGGUAAUACGGAGGGUCCGAGCGUUAAUCGGAAUUACUGGGCGUAAAGCGCGCGUAGGCGGUUUGAUAAGCGAGAUGUGAAAGCCCAGGGCUCAACCUUGGAACUGCAUUUCGAACUGUCAGGCUAGAAUACAGCAGAGGAUAGUGGAAUUUCAGGUGUAGCGGUGAAAUGCGUAGAGAUCUGAAGGAACAUCAGUGGCGAAGGCGACUGUCUGGGCUGAUAUUGACGCUGAGGUGCGAAAGCGUGGGGAGCAAACGGGAUUAGAUA